UACGUAGGGUGCAAGCGUUAAUCGGAAUUACUGGGCGUAAAGCGUGCGCAGGCGGUUUUGUAAGUCUGACGUGAAAUCCCCGGGCUCAACCUGGGAACUGCAUUGGUGACUGGCGGGCUAGAGUGUGGCAGAGGGGGGUAGAAUUCCACGUGUAGCAGUGAAAUGCGUAGAGAUGUGGAGGAAUACCGAUGGCGAAGGCAGCCCCCUGGGCUAACACUGACGCUCAUGCACGAAAGCGUGGGGAGCAAACAGG
rnacentral:rRNA from 1 species